rnacentral:rRNA from 1 species
AUGAACGCUGGCGGCGUGCCUAACACAUGCAAGUCGAACGGAGUUUACAUGAAACCUAGUGAUUGUAAACUUAGUGGCGGACGGGUGAGUAACGCGUGGGUAACCUGCCCUGUACUGGGGGAUAACACUUAGAAAUAGGUGCUAAUACCGCAUAAGCGCACAGUGCCGCAUGGCACAGUGUGAAAAACUCCGGUGGUACAGGAUGGACCCGCGUCUGAUUAGAUAGUUGGUGAGGUAACGGCCCACCAAGUCAACGAUCAGUAGCCGGCCUGAGAGGGUGAACGGCCACAUUGGGACUGAGACACGGCCCAAACUCCUACGGGAGGCAGCAGUGGGGAAUAUUGCACAAUGGGGGAAACCCUGAUGCAGCGACGCCGCGUGAGUGAAGAAGUAUUUCGGUAUGUAAAGCUCUAUCAGCAGGGAAGAAAAUGACGGUACCUGACUAAGAAGCCCCGGCUAACUACGUGCCAGCAGCCGCGGUAAUACGUAGGGGGCAAGCGUUAUCCGGAUUUACUGGGUGUAAAGGGAGCGUAGACGGUGAGACAAGUCUGAAGUGAAAUCCCGGGGCUCAACCCCGGAACUGCUUUGGAAACUGCCUGACUAGAGUGCAGGAGAGGUAAGUGGAAUUCCUAGUGUAGCGGUGAAAUGCGUAGAUAUUAGGAGGAACACCAGUGGCGAAGGCGGCUUACUGGACUGUAACUGACGUUGAGGCUCGAAAGCGUGGGGAGCAAACAGGAUUAGAUACCCUGGUAGUCCACGCGGUAAACGAUGAUUACUAGGUGUCGGGGGUUUAUAAACCUUCGGUGCCGCCGCAAACGCAAUAAGUAAUCCACCUGGGGAGUACGUUCGCAAGAAUGAAACUCAAAGGAAUUGACGGGGACCCUCACAAGCGGUGGAGCAUGUGGUUUAAUUCGAAGCAACGCGAAGAACCUUACCUGGUCUUGACAUCCCGAUGAAUAACGGGUAAUGCCGUUAGUACUUCGGUACAUUGGAGACAGGUGGUGCAUGGUUGUCGUCAGCUCGUGUCGUGAGAUGUUGGGUUAAGUCCCGCAACGAGCGCAACCCUUAUCUUUAGUAGCCAGCAGUAAGAUGGGAACUCUAGAGAGACUGCCGGGGAUAACCCGGAGGAAGGUGGGGAUGACGUCAAAUCAUCAUGCCCCUUAUGACCAGGGCUACACACGUGCUACAAUGGCGUAAACAAAGGGAAGCGAAACCGCGAGGUGGAGCCAAUCCCAAAAAUAACGUCCCAGUUCGGAUUGUAGUCUGCAACUCGACUACAUGAAGCUGGAAUCGCUAGUAAUCGCAGAUCAGAAUGCUGCGGUGAAUACGUUCCCGGGUCUUGUACACACCGCCCGUCACACCAUGGGAGUCGGAAAUGCCCGAAGCCGGUGACCUAACCGAAAGGAAGGAGCCGUCGAAGGCAGGUCUGAUAACUGGGGUG